AAAGAAACCAACCGGGAUUGCCUCAGUAACGGCGAGUGAAGCGGCAAGAGCUCAAAUUUGAAAGCUGGCUCCUUCGGGGUCCGCAUUGUAAUUUGCAGAGGAUGCUUCGGGUGCAGCCCCCGUCUAAGUGCCCUGGAACGGGCCGUCAUAGAGGGUGAGAAUCCCGUAUGGGGCGGGGUGUCUGCGUCCGUGUGAAGCUCCUUCGACGAGUCGAGUUGUUUGGGAAUGCAGCUCUAAAUGGGUGGUAAAUUUCAUCUAAAGCUAAAUACUGGCCGGAGACCGAUAGCGCACAAGUAGAGUGAUCGAAAGAUGAAAAGCACUUUGAAAAGAGAGUUAAACAGCACGUGAAAUUGUUGAAAGGGAAGCGCUUGCAACCAGACUCGCUCGCGGGGUUCAGCCGGGCUUCGGCCCGGUGUACUUCCCCGUGGGCGGGCCAGCGUCGGUUUGGGCGGCCGGUCAAAGGCCUCCGGAAUGUAGCGCCCUUCGGGGCCCUUAUAGCCGGGGGUGCAAUGCGGCCAGCCUGGACCGAGGAACGCGCUUCGGCACGGACGCUGGCAUAAUGGUUGUAAACGAC
rnacentral:rRNA from 1 species